rnacentral:lncRNA from 1 species
UAUAGAUAUAGAUAAAUUAUUUUUUAAAAUUUUAUAAUUUUACUUCGAAUUUUUAGUAAACAUAUCAAAAUAUUUUUAUUUUUUUCUUUUCUAUUUUUUUUCGUUCGUUCGUUUGUUUUUCUCCUCCGUUCUGCUGUCGUUUCUUUCCCUCUUCUCCGCUCACUUUUUUUUUCUUUCUUUUCAGUCUCUUCACUGCUCUCACGUCGUUGUCACGCUCUUUUCUAUUAUCUCGGCCACACCUUCAUUGACACUGGUUCGAAUAUGGCACAAAUU